CACCAGCCUCCACCUCCCCUGGGGGCGCCGGCGAGGCCCCUGGGGAGCGCUCGGAUCUCGUGUUGCGCGCGCGCGUAGAAGAGCUGUAGAAGGUCAGAGUGAAUGAGAAAUGCAGAGUCCCUGUGCCCAGGCCCCACAUCACACCCUGCAGCUGGCAGUACCUUUAUGGCCCAAGGAAUCCAGGAAACAAGGAAAUGAGACAGAACGCUUCAUUCCCAGGAGGCAGAAUGGACCAGCUCCUGUGCUCCAAACAGUGUGUGUGUGUGUGUG